AACGCGAAGAACCUUACCGGGGCUUGACAUCGGAGGAACAUCAUAGAAAUAUGGUUUCGGAGCAAUCCGACUUCCAGACAGGUGCUGCAUGGCUGUCGUCAGCUCGUGCCGUGAGGUGUUGGGUUAAGUCCCGCAACGAGCGCAACCCUCGUCGUGUGUUGGUCCGCAAGGAUCUCUCACGCGAGACCGCCGGUGAGAAGCCGGAGGAAGGUGGGGAUGACGUCAAGUCAGCAUGGCCCUUACGUCCCGGGCUACACACGUGCUACAAUGGGUAGGACAACGAGUCGCUAGCUAGUGAUAGUCUGCUAAUCUCUUAAACCUAUCCUCAGUUCGGAUUGAAGGCUGCAACUCGCCUUCAUGAAGUCGGAAUCGCUAGUAAACGCAGAUCAGCUACGCUGCGUUGAAUACGUUCCCGGGCCUUGUACACACCGCGCAUA
rnacentral:rRNA from 1 species